ACACCUUCACGGCGAUCCUUUGCUACACACUGGGUCUGAGGGGAGCCUAAGAAAGCUCAUUUUCGAGAAAUGCCGGGGGAGGGGAUCUUUCUUCUUGCAAAUCGCAAGAGGUCCCCCCACCGAGAGCUGAAACUGCUGUCUGCCACGGAGGUGAACAACGCUGCCAUGUUCUGCUGCUGCGACGUUCCGACUUCGCCACAAGCUUAGAGACACAGAACCAAGGGAUGUGGACUCUGAACCCCAUGGAAUAACGCGCAGAAGCCGCAAUAUCACAGGCAGUGGACUUCAAGACCUCUGGCCAUGUUCCAAAGCUUCACCCAUCUGCUGAUCUUCAGGGCUGUCACCUAGCACAUCAGCUACGCUCAAACCAGCCUGUCUUCAAGCCUGUUCAAGGCAAGAAGGGGCUCCCAGGAGUCGGUCCUGGAAGAGACUACAGCAGAAGCCUUCAAGACUGCAUUACCCAGGACAUGCUGAGAGCCCCGUGGAAUGUGGGAGAACAGGAAAACAAGACUUGCUUUUCUUCUUUAAUUUUUGUUUUGGAGGCAGGAUCUCAUGUAGCUGAGGCUGACCUUGAACUCCUGAUUAUCCCAAGUGCUGGGACUAGACGUGUAUUCCCUGGUUGUUUUACUUUACUCAGGCAGGGUCUUGUGCAGGCCAGGGUGGCCUGGCCCUACAGAGGCUGAGACUCUCUAGCCUUUGAGAUGUAAAGCAAGAGCUAAGGUAGCAUAGCGACAUCAAAGACGGAGCCACGGGCUUCUCAGUCAGAUGGGGCAUAACAAGUUCAAGGCUGCCCUUUGAUUUUUCAAAGAUUAGAUGCCUGAAGUCUGAACACUUCAAACACCUAAGUCUUCCUGACAGCAAAAUAAGGUUCGGUGCACCUCAGAGUAUUUCCCCUUUACUGGUGAAAUGAAAAAGAAAUAUUGGAAUCUCAAAACACAUGUUCUUCUCACUUCCUCUGAAAGAGAACUCAUUAUUUUUGCUCCAUUUUAUCUCAAAACUUUGGGAAAAGGCUAUUACUGAGUAAUUAAUUCUUAGCACUCUUCUUGGCUAUUAUAUUUCAACAUGUAAAUGGAACCAUAAUCUUUGGAGAUUUCUGAGUCACAUGGCAUGAUAGAUAUUGGAAAAUAAUGGAAAUGCUUGCUUUCAACUCGGACAGUGCAUCAAAACUGUAACAUUCGUGUUUCUGAGGAACCGGGACACAAACCCAGGACACCUGGCAUCCUGGUCACUUGUUCUACCACUGAUCUAUACACUUCAACUUUAUGGGGGUGGGGGUUGCUUUGCUACUGUGAUUUUCUGUUUGCUUGUCUUUUUGUUUGUUUGUUUAGUUGGUUGGUUUUUUGAGACAGGGUUUCUCUGUGUAGCUUUGUAGACCAGGAUGGCCUCGA